rnacentral:rRNA from 1 species
AUUGAACGCUGGCGGCAGGCUUAACACAUGCAAGUCGAGUGGAGAGAGGUAGCUUGCUACUGAUCUUAGUGGCGGACGGGUGAGUAAUGCUUAGGAAUCUGCCUAUUAGUGGGGGACAACAUUUCGAAAGGAAUGCUAAUACCGCAUACGUCCUACGGGAGAAAGCAGGGGAUCUUCGGACCUUGCGCUAAUGGAUGAGCCUAAGUCGGAUUAGCUAGUUGGUGGGGUAAAGGCCUACCAAGGCGACGAUCUGUAGCGGGUCUGAGAGGAUGAUCCGCCACACUGGGACUGAGACACGGCCCAGACUCCUACGGGAGGCAGCAGUGGGGAAUAUUGGACAAUGGGCGGAAGCCUGAUCCAGCCAUGCCGCGUGUGUGAAGAAGGCCUUAUGGUUGUAAAGCACUUUAAGCGAGGAGGAGGCUACUUUAGUUAAUACCUAGAGAUAGUGGACGUUACUCGCAGAAUAAGCACCGGCUAACUCUGUGCCAGCCGCCGCGGUAAAAC